ACUUAGAAACCCAGAGCAUUUUAACCCUCAGUAGUGAGGUAGGUAAAAACUCCAGUUUGUACUGCUGGAAUUGCCAAUUCCCCUCUAACUUGGGCUGGAUUAAAUGCUCCCUUUAUGACUUAGCAUCUGCUGAGUUUGGUUCAUUUUUUUCCUUUUUGCUCUAACAGGACAGCACUCAGUUUAUUGCUUCAAAAUUCCUGUUUUCUCUUCCCCAGCACACAGAGAUAUUCCUUCAGCAUACCAUACUGCCAUAGAGUGAUGGAGGAAUGACACCAGUAAUUUGAGACCUCUUCAGUGGCUCUGUGAUACAAAGUUAAAACCAGGUACUUUGAGUGUCUCUCUCUUAUAUAUAAGGUUGUAUAUAAAUACUAGAAUAAAUAUUUUCAUUAUUAGAAUGGAAUAUUAGUCAGAGGAAAAAUAAAAUCCUGUAAUUUGCAGCAACAUUGGGUAAAUAUAGACAACAUAUGAUAAUGAAAGUAAAGUUUUAUUUUGUUUAAAUUGGCACAUAAUUUUCUACAUGUAUAGGUUAAAAAUGUGAUGUUUUAAUAUAUGUAAUUAUGUGAUGAUUAAAUCAGGGUAAUUAAUAUAUCCAUUAACUUAAUUAUGUGUUAUUUUCUUGUGGUGAGAAUAUUCAAAACUCACUUUUUUUGCUAUUUUGAAAUAUAUAGAACUUUAUUGUUUAUCAUAAUCAAGGACUAUGUGAUAGAACACUAGAAAUUAUUUUUAUUGUCAAAUUCUAAAUUUAUAACAAAUAAGACAACUACUUUCUUUCCUUCCUUUCCACUUCAUAUAUUUUGUUAACCACUAUUGUACUCAAUACUUUUAUAAAAUCAACCUUUAUCAAGCUCUCAAAUGUGAGUGACAUAAUGCAGUUUUUUUAUUUCUGUGACUGGCUUAUUUCACAUAGCAUAACAUCUUAUGGUGUCCUCCAUGUUGGCACAAACGUCAUCAUUUUGUUCUAUAUAUGACCAAAUAAUUAACUAUUGUGUAAAUAUACCACAUUUUUAUGUACUCAUGUUGAUAAAAUUUGUAGUUGAUUUUUUUUAUCCUGGCUAUUGUAAAUAGAGCUGCAAUAAGCAUGUAAAAACAGAUUUUUUUUUCUUUUGUAAACUGAUUUUCGUUACCUUGAAUAAAUACUCAGUAGUGGGAUCUCUGAAUCAUAUGGCGGUUGUAAUUUUAGUAUUUUGUAAACACUCAACACUUAAAAAAUAUAAGAACAGUGCUAAUUUACACUCUCACCUGCAGUAUAAAUAUUUCUUUCUGUCCACAACCUCAUGGUCAUUCGACAAUUUUUUAAUCUUUUUACUGAUAGCUAUUUUCACUAAAGUGAGAAAAUAUCUCACUUUUGUCUUAAUUUAUAUUUUAUGGUGAUAAGCAUAACACUUCUGAUAUUAAUGGGAGUAUUCGUAUAUCCGCUUUUGAGGAGAACGUGCAUUUCUUCUUUUGAGAAUUGCCUAAUCAGAUUCUUUGUCAAUUUUUUUUUUUUUUUUUUUUGAGACCAAGUCUCUCUCUGUCACCCAGGCUGGAGUGCUGUGACAUGACCUUGCCUCACUGCAACCUCCGCAUCCCAGGUUCAAGCAAUUCUCUGCUUCAGCCUCACUAGUAGCUGGGAUUACAGGCACCCACCACCAUGACCAGCUAAUUUUUGUAUUUUUAAUAGAAACGGAGUUUCACUAUCUUGGGCAGGUUGGUAUUGAACUCCUGACCUGCCUCGGUCUCCCAAAGUGCUGGGAUUACAGGAGUGAACCAUCAUGCGUGGCCUCUUUGUCCAUUUUUUAAAAAUCAAUUUGUUUUGUUUUUUGCUAAUGAGUUUCUAGUAUAUUCUGGAUAUUAGUCCAAUAGCAAAUUUCUUAAUUUAUUGUUCUAUUUUCUAUGAAAAUACUUUGCAGUACAAUGUGGUGAAGUGCAUUGAUUUUUCAUUUUGCUGCUUCUGCUUUUAAAGUCUUAUUCAUGAAACAUUUGACUAAACUAAUGUCUUGAGGUGUUUCUUCUAUUUUUGUGGUAGUUUUAUAGAUCAGAAACUUAUGUUUAAAGUCUUUUCUUUUUUAUUUAUUUAUUUAUUUUUUGAGAUGGAGU
rnacentral:lncRNA from 1 species